rnacentral:sRNA from 1 species
AAUUUGUUGCGGACAAAUAAAAUGAAUAUGGGAAUCAAUCCCUCCAGCAGUAAGAAUAUUGCCUUCGCCAGCAAUGAUCUCUGUACCGGGUCCUAUCACAAUCGUUACUUCUGGUUGAAUAUCCGGAUUACCUGCUUUGCCUAUCGCCGUAAUACGACCAUUUUUUACCGCAACAUCAGCUUUAACGAUCCCCCAGUAAUCUAAAACAACCGCAUUAGUGAUCACUAAAUCGGGUGUUUCAGCACUGGGUCGUUGGCUUUGUCCCAUUCCAUCACG